UACGAGAGGCCCAAACGUUAUUCGGAAUUACUGGGCUUAAAGAGUUCGUAGGCGGCGCGGAAAGUAGGGUGUGAAAGCCCUCGGCUCAACCGAGGAAUUGCGCUCUAAACUACCGUGCUUGAGGAAGCUAGAGGUGAGCGGAACUGAUGGUGGAGCGGUGAAAUGCGUUGAUAGUCAUCAGGAACACCGGAGGCGAAGGCGGCUCACUGGGCUUUCUGACU
rnacentral:rRNA from 1 species